CUUUUAAUAGGAAAUACGACGCUGAAGCUCCAGUGCUCUCUAACGCAUCUUAAUAAAUACAUAUAAAAAAAGAAAAGAACCGGUUUCCACAGCAACUGGCACCUGAGUAACCGCGGAGAGGAGCUUGAAGGCAUCAGGUUAUAAAAUGACAUCUUUGCAUCCUGACGCGUAUGCAUUGAUCUCGUGUCAUACGCAAUUAGAGCGCGUGCUGGCGGGUGCUAUUCAUCUCUCAGACGUUUGUGCGGGAAAAGGCGUUAAUGAAUACCGCCGCGCGCGCCUCCUGCUUCCGUAAACUCCUCAUGUUUACCUCAGACAUGCCAGGAUUGGAUGAGGCAGGUUUUUAUAUAGCGGAACUGACGUAAAGCUUUUAUCAAACGGCAGAGCGAUGGGAGUCAAGCAGCCAAUCAAUGUUUGUCUGUAAUGAUGCACGUCUAAGCUUCUUCCUGCGACAGCGUCUGACUGUGACACAGCGAAAUGCAACAGAUAUUUUUGAAAGGGGCUUGGGUGCACUCGCAUAUCUCAGGGGAACUUUAAAUGAGUUCGCAGGGUGUCGUUAAUACGACGGACAGCAUGAAUAAACCAGUACACCCAGCAGUGACCGGCCUGUGGUUCUCCUGGAACAGCUGUGACCAUAGCCAUGAAUCAUGUCAUCCGGCCGGGCUUAUGAAAGAGCUCUGCGUCUAUGCGUGCGACUCAGACAGACACAGUGAGCCGAGCGGGUGGUACUAAAUCAUCCUGUUCAUCACUCCCAAUGCAUUCGCCCAGUAAGACACACGCCGGAUUUAUGAGGUACCAAAGCUACCGGUCACUGAUCUGAAUACACUGUUUGUUUUCAUGCUGAUCUGCUGUACACUGUGCAGAACAAUAUCAUGAUGUUUAUAACCUGUAAUGCAUACUGCAGAGUAGCUACAGUCACAGCGAUGCCAGAGAGGAACCAUUUUUGGUUCCCCAAAGAACAUUUUAGUCAAAGGCUCCUAAAACAUUUUUAUAGAAACUUUUUGACUACAAAGAACUUUUUAAGCAACAGUAAGGUGUUAAAUGGUUUUUAUGCAACCAUACAGCCAGACAAAAACAUUUUAGGAACCUUUAUUUUUAAUAGCAUAUAGAUGAGAGAAUAAGCAGAGGUGGAUUGUGGGAUCUUGUGUUCUUUUUCAUGAUGAAAGGCAUUGAUAUUAAAGUCAACAUGAAACGGUAUUCUCAAAGCAGUAUCCUUCAAUAACGUACGUAGUGAUCUCUGAAGUAAAACUCACAAAUGUAGGGCAGGAUUCUCAUUUGUAUUUAUGUGUUUGCCGAAAUGCUUCUUCUUCAGUUAUGUCACAGUAUGUUUGUGUCUAAUCUGUAAUGUCACCUCAUGCUGUGUGUGUGCAUAACAAACAAGAUUAAACAUUUGCAAACCAUUUCAUUUACGUAAUUUAACAUACUGAAUUUUUAUUGAAUCAACUUUUAUGCGGGGCAAAAAAAAAUGCGGGUUUAGUUGUAACAGGGACUGUUUACAUUGUUGCACAAGGUUGAGUGUUUUGUUUUUACGGUAUUUUUUAUGCUGCCAAAAGCCGAUCUCCCGCAAAUUAUUGGAAAUGUAUAUGGUUUUUCCAGAGAGUUAUUGAUGAACGAGUGUUUUGGUGGCAUGUAAGUAAUUUUUUUCUUCAUAUAUUUUUUUCGGUUUCUAAGUUGGGUGUGUAAGAUACCAAAUCCAAUGCUAUGUCAUAUUAAUCAGUGUCUUGUUGACUACAACAUAGCAUCGUUUUGAAAUAGUCUGCAGCUCUUAGCAACUUUUUUGGUAGGCUUGAAAAUAUUUUGACUCAGCGGGGUUAAUUGUAACGCUGUGUUACAACUAACCCCUCAGCACUUACGAUAUGAAAACAGCUAACGUUAGCGUAAUUCUUGCCGUUGUUUUAAAUAGGCUACACGUGAAUGAUUGUUGGCUGCAAACAAAACAAAUGUGCCUGUCUUAUCAAAAAUGUAUUUUUGUUCAUAUCUUUAAUAUUGAUUAAAUAAGGUCAAAGAUUGAAAUCAUAAUGAAAUGAAUGGCUAAAAUCAGACUUUGAUGCUCAUUAUCUCAGAAUUUGAUUUUGAAACUGUAGUAUGGUUAUUACAGACUGGGUCACAUAUAAAAAAAAAUUGUCAUAAUUUUGCUGCUUUUUCUCACAUAUUUAGACAUUUGUAUCCAUUUAUAAUUGAACUAUUGUUAGAAAAGGGCUGGAUGAAUGAAUACAGUGUGGAUACCUGUCUAUUAUAGACAGAUAUAUAAACAAUAUCCACUUCAAGUAUAUAGACAUAAUAGUAUUGAAAUAUUUGCCUG